rnacentral:lncRNA from 1 species
UGGAUAAUCUGACGAAUGUCAAGACAAAGGCUACUCGUCAAGCGGACGUCACCUAACAACACUAACCUAGUGUUACUCAGGCAAGCCCCGGUGCAUUUGCCACCUCCUUGUGUUUUAAAAAUAUUUUUCACUUGCUUGAUGCAUAGGUGAUAGGAGUUGAUUGCUAAAACAAUUCAUGCAUUACCUUCCUUGAACUUGAUUACCUUCCUUGAUCACCUGUUUUACAAAAGAUUUUGAUGCUUAGCAUUGCUUUAGAAAAACAAAAUGUUUUGUUUUUACAAAAGUUGAUGUGGCAAAAGUGGGUGGGAUGUUUUCGAAAAUAAAACUUGAUGGUGGAUCCAUCAGGGCCUUGAUGGAUUCAACAUCGGAAAAGAUGUACCUCUGCCAGGUACCAAACUUUGGGUUUUAAAUGAUUAAGCUGAGACCGGGCGGUUGACUUGCACGAGAAAGGAGUCUCGGUGUAGUGUCUCCGUCUGAGUCGAUUAAGGACCGUCUCGAUAUAGGCCUGCUGACCGAGGAUCCUUUAACUGGUCACAUGCCUCGUCAUGGGUAAGCCUUGCCUCAGGCAGACUAAGGCCAGAAUAAGAUAACACGAAAUGGGCGUGGAGCGGUGGCGAGAGUAGCGUGUACCCUCCGUGGCAAGAGGCUGGACGGUGGUGUAUCUGUGCUCUCGGUUUGCGUGAACCUGAUCUGGUCUUAAGAACCCCGGUGGCGGGUUGACAUAUGCAAGGGUUAAGUGCUACAUAUGUCGUGUGAUCGGAGAUCCUCAGCUGAGUAUAAUCGAUUCGGAUCGCCGUACCUUCGCGCUUAUGAAGACUUGGUCACUGACUUACACGUAGCAAUCUAGUGAAGAUGAAGGGUUGAUAAGAAAUUGGCUAGUGCAGGUCAAGUGCUUGAACUAGGGUAGACAGAACUCUAGAUGCAGGUAAUUUUACUUAACCUGACAUUAAAAAUGGAUUUUUAAGGAUCCACUCAUAGUAAGCUUUUCUGCAAAACAGAGUCCUUUAUUCUUGAUAAACCUUUCCUUGAAUCCCUCUAGCCAGCAUACCCUUGAGAGUCUUUUCCUUAGUCGGGUAAGUCUUGCUGAGUAAUUCCGUACUCAGGGUUUUAUUCCCUAUUGUUUUUCAGGUUCUAACCUUGUGCUGCUGUUGAUGGUGUUAAGUGCCGGUGGGCUCGGCCUUCUUAUAAGUCUAAGUAACCCUUCUAUACUUCUUAUUGAGGAUGGUCAUUUGAGCUAGCAUAUAUUUCAAACUUAUACUUUUGUAAUCACUCCGAUAAAAUAAUAUAAAAUUUUUGUAACUUGUAAAAUUUGG